rnacentral:rRNA from 1 species
GACGAACGCUGGCGGCGUGCCUAAUACAUGCAAGUAGAACGCUGAAGGAGGAGCUUGCUUCUCUGGAUGAGUUGCGAACGGGUGAGUAACGCGUAGGUAACCUGCCUGGUAGCGGGGGAUAACUAUUGGAAACGAUAGCUAAUACCGCAUAAGAGUAGAUGUUGCAUGACAUUUGCUUAAAAGGUGCAAUUGCAUCACUACCAGAUGGACCUGCGUUGUAUUAGCUAGUUGGUGAGGUAACGGCUCACCAAGGCAACGAUACAUAGCCGACCUGAGAGGGUGAUCGGCCACACUGGGACUGAGACACGGCCCAGACUCCUACGGGAGGCAGCAGUAGGGAAUCUUCGGCAAUGGACGGAAGUCUGACCGAGCAACGCCGCGUGAGUGAAGAAGGUUUUCGGAUCGUAAAGCUCUGUUGUAAGAGAAGAACGAGUGUGAGAGUGGAAAGUUCACG